AGACCCGAAACCCGGUGAUCUAGCCAUGGGCAGGUUGAAGGUUGGGUAACACUAACUGGAGGACCGAACCGACUAAUGUUGAAAAAUUAGCGGAUGACCUGUGGCUGGGGGUGAAAGGCCAAUCAAACCGGGAGAUAGCUGGUUCUCCCCGAAAGCUAUUUAGGUAGCGCCUCGUGAAUUCAUCUCCGGGGGUAGAGCACUGUUUCGGCUAGGGGGCCAUCCCGGCUUACCAACCCGAUGCAAACUGCGAAUACCGGAGAAUGUUAUCACGGGAGACACACGGCGGGUGCUAACGUCCGUCGUGAAGAGGGAAACAACCCAGACCGCCAGCUAAGGUCCCAAAGUCAUGGUUAAGUGGGAAACGAUGUGGGAAGGCCCAGACAGCCAGGAUGUUGGCUUAGAAGCAGCCAUCAUUUAAAGAAAGCGUAAUAGCUCACUGGUCGAGUCGGCCUGCGCGGAAGAUGUAACGGGGCUAAACCAUGCACCGAAGCUGCGGCAGCGACACUCAGGUGUUGUUGGGUAGGGGAGCGUUCUGUAAGCCUGUGAAGGUGGCCUGUGAGGGUUGCUGGAGGUAUCAGAAGUGCGAAUGCUGACAUAAGUAACGAUAAAGCGGGUGAAAAGCCCGCUCGCCGGAAGACCAAGGGUUCCUGUCCAACGUUAAUCGGGGCAGGGUGAGUCGACCCCUAAGGCGAGGCCGAAAGGCGUAGUCGAUGGGAAACGGGUUAAUAUUCCCGUACUUGGUGUUACUGCGAAGGGGGGACGGAGAAGGCUAUGUUGGCCGGGCGACGGUUGUCCCGGUUUAAG
rnacentral:rRNA from 1 species